rnacentral:rRNA from 1 species
AUUGAACGCUGGCGGCAGGCCUAACACAUGCAAGUCGAACGGUAACAGGAAGAAGCUUGCUUCUUUGCUGACGAGUGGCGGACGGGUGAGUAAUGUCUGGGAAACUGCCUGAUGGAGGGGGAUAACUACUGGAAACGGUAGCUAAUACCGCAUAACGUCGCAAGACCAAAAAGGGGGACCUUCGGGCCUCUUGCCAUCGGAUGUGCCCAGAUGGGAUUAGCUAGUAGGUGGGGUAACGGCUCACCUAGGCGACGAUCCCUAGCUGGUCUGAGAGGAUGACCAGCCACACUGGAACUGAGACACGGUCCAGACUCCUACGGGAGGCAGCAGUGGGGAAUAAUGCACAAUGGGCGCAAGCCUGAUGCAGCCAUGCCGCGUGUAUGAAGAAGGCCUUCGGGUUGUAAAGUACUUUCAGCGGGGAGGAAGGGAGUAAAGUUAAUACCUUUGCUCAUUGACGUUACCCGCAGAAGAAGCACCGGCUAACUCCGUG